GGGGGGAGCAAACGUUUGUUUCGGAAUUACUGGGCGUAAAGGGCGCGUAGGCGGCCCUGCAAGUGGUGUGUGAAAUGCCCUGGCUCAACCAGGGAACUGCGCACCAAACUGCAAGGCUUGAGGGCAGUAGAGGAAGCUGGAAUUCCUGGUGUAGCGGUGAAAUGCGUAGAUAUCAGGAGGAACACCGUUGGCGAAGGCGAGCUUCUGGGCUGUCCCUGACGCUGAGGCGCGAAAGCUGGGGGAGCAAACAGGGAUUAGAUACCCUGGUAGUCCCAGCUGUAAACGGUGAACACUAGGUGUGGGGGGUGUCGACCCUUUCCGUGCCCGUAGCUAACGCAUUAAGUGUUCCGCCUGGGGGAGUACGGUCGCAAGGCUG
rnacentral:rRNA from 1 species